UACGUAGGGUGCAAGCGUUAAUCGGAAUUACUGGGCGUAAAGCGUGCGCAGGCGGUGAUGCAAGACAGAUGUGAAAUCCCCGGGCUUAACCUGGGAACUGCAUUUGUGACUGCAUGGCUAGAGUGCGGCAGAGGGGGAUGGAAUUCCGCGUGUAGCAGUGAAAUGCGUAGAUAUGCGGAGGAACACCGAUGGCGAAGGCAAUCCCCUGGGCCUGCACUGACGCUCAUGCACGAAAGCGUGGGGAGCAAACAGG
rnacentral:rRNA from 1 species